AUGCUUUUAUUACAAGACUACCGA
rnacentral:piRNA from 1 species